GACGAACGCUGGCGGCGUGCUUAACACAUGCCAGUCGAACGGAAAGGCCCUGCUUGCAGGGUGCUCGAGUGGCGAACGGGUGAGUAACACGUGGGUGAUCUGCCCCUUACUUUGGGAUAAGCCUGGGAAACUGGGUCUAAUACUGGAUAGGACCAUGCUGGAGGUGGGGUGGUGGAAAGAUUAGUUUCGGCAAGGGAUGAGGUCGCGGCCUAUCAGCUCGUUGGUGGGGUGAUGGCCUACUAAGGCGUCGACGGGUAGCGGGCCUGAGAGGGUGGACAGCCACAUUGGUGCUGAGGUGCGGCCCAGACUCCUACGGGGGGCAGCAGUGGGGAAUAUUGCACAAUGGGGGCAGGCCUGAUGCAGCGACGCCGCGUGGGGGGUGACGGCCUUCGGGUUGUAAACUCCUUUCUGCCAUGGCGAAGCCCUUGUGGUGACGGUAGUGGUAGAAGAAGCACCGGCUAACUACGUG
rnacentral:rRNA from 1 species